rnacentral:rRNA from 1 species
UACGUAGGGUGCGAGCGUUGUCCGGAAUUAUUGGGCGUAAAGGGCUCGUAGGCGGCCUUCUAAGUCGAACGUGAAAUCCCCGGGCUCAACCCGGGAACUGCGUCCGAUACUGGAAGGCUUGAAUCCGGGAGAGGGAUGCGGAAUUCCAGGUGUAGCGGUGAAAUGCGUAGAUAUCUGGAGGAACACCGGUGGCGAAGGCGGCGAUC